rnacentral:miRNA from 1 species
UUCUGGGACACAGGGAGGCUCG